rnacentral:lncRNA from 1 species
GGAAGUUUUGUGCAGAUGGGGUGCAUUUCCUCUGCACCCCAAAAAUGAAGGGAGUUGUUUCCCAACUUUCCUGACAUGUUACCUGGGAAAGAAAGGGGUGAUGAUAAAUGGACACUUCUCUGUAGAUUUUGCAUGGAUCUCAAGGGAGAGUUCUGGAACUGAUCUCAUUCUGUUCUUUUUUUUUUUCUUUUUUACAAAUCAUGUUGAGGAAGAAAUACACAAUGAGCUCUCCAGGUUUGCCUGCAACACUAAUCUCUUCCAGGUGCUGCAAUUCUAAGGUAACAGGGAAACACAGCAGGAAGCUUCUAGGCACUUACUGGGAGGGGGGCAGGAAGAACAUGGAGUCUGGGGAGAAGCAGAGCCAGGCCCUGCUGCCCUGAGUUCUCAGGAGCUCCGCAAACGCUUCUGGGAGCUCCGGCAGCUCCCGGUGUUGGUGUGGGUGGUGGGGGUGAGGUGGGACAGAAGAGCGAGUCUCCCCCAGCCACCUGGGAGCCUCUGGGGCAGGUCCUCCUCCCCGGCCUACACAGGAAGCCUUCCCAGAAUCCUUCGCUACACGCUUUGGACACCCGGCCUUCCCAGAAUUUCUCAUCCCUGCUGCAGUCUUCACUCGGCCUCAGGUACUGUCUUCGGCUUUUCCUGCUCACAGUUUCAGAUACCUUUGGUUUGUCUUAUUUCCCCUUGGCACGUCCCCUCCCUCUCCCCACCCCCACAAAUGGUUCUGAUUCUUGUUUUUAGGCACCGCAACCACAACCAAAGGUAACAAAAUGCUCUUUUGGGGGUGCAUUUCUGGGCACCAGGGAACCAGCCAGCAGGUCUGGUCAGCACAGACUGAGGAGUUAAGUUAGAGGAGUCACAGGAGCGAGAAAGGCUUGUAGGGGGAAGAGAUUGCGCCUCAUAUUUCGAUCUGCGUUAAUUAUUGGCUGUUAAACUGUGGCCUUUUGAGCUCUUUUAAACCCUCUCAGGUUUAAAUUGUUGGGAAGGCAAUCAAUGAAAUAACUGAUUCCAAAGCCAUUAGGGGAAAGUAGUUUAGAAACAGGAUCUUUGCAUGGUGUCAAAACAUCACUGAAUAGGGAGUUCCCAUAGUGGCUCAAUGGUAACGAAACCAACUUUUAUCCAUGAGGAUUUGGGUUCUAUCCCUGGUCUCGCUCAGUGGGUUAAGGAUCCUGUGUUGCUGUGGCUGUGGUGUAGGCCAAUAGAUGCCGCUCCUAUUUGACCUCUAGCCUGGGAAUUUCCAUAUGUCACACCUGCG